GAGGUUGAUCAUGGCUCAGGACGAACGCUGGCGGCGUGCCUAAUACAUGCAAGUAGAACGCUGAAGAGAGGAGCUUGCUCUUCUUGGAUGAGUUGCGAACGGGUGAGUAACGCGUAGGUAACCUGCCUUGUAGCGGGGGAUAACUAUUGGAAACGAUAGCUAAUACCGCAUAACAAUAGGUGACACAUGUCAUUUAUUUGAAAGGGGCAAUUGCUCCACUACAAGAUGGACCUGCGUUGUAUUAGCUAGUAGGUGAGGUAACGGCUCACCUAGGCGACGAUACAUAGCCGACCUGAGAGGGUGAUCGGCCACACUGGGACUGAGACACGGCCCAGACUCCUACGGGAGGCAGCAGUAGGGAAUCUUCGGCAAUGGGGGCAACCCUGACCGAGCAACGCCGCGUGAGUGAAGAAGGUUUUCGGAUCGUAAAGCUCUGUUGUAAGUCAAGAACGAGUGUGAGAGUGGAAAGUUCACACUGUGACGGUAGCUUACCAGAAAGGGACGGCUAACUACGUGCCAGCAGCCGCGGUAAUACGUAGGUCCCGAGCGUUGUCCGGAUUUAUUGGGCGUAAAGCGAGCGCAGGCGGUUUGAUAAGUCUGAAGUUAAAGGCUGUGGCUCAACCAUAGUUCGCUUUGGAAACUGUCAAACUUGAGUGCAGAAGGGGAGAGUGGAAUUCCAUGUGUAGCGGUGAAAUGCGUAGAUAUAUGGAGGAACACCGGUGGCGAAAGCGGCUCUCUGGUCUGUAACUGACGCUGAGGCUCGAAAGCGUGGGGAGCGAACAGGAUUAGAUACCCUGGUAGUCCACGCCGUAAACGAUGAGUGCUAGGUGUUGGAUCCUUUCCGGGAUUCAGUGCCGCAGCUAACGCAUUAAGCACUCCGCCUGGGGAGUACGACCGCAAGGUUGAAACUCAAAGGAAUUGACGGGGGCCCGCACAAGCGGUGGAGCAUGUGGUUUAAUUCGAAGCAACGCGAAGAACCUUACCAGGUCUUGACAUCCCGAUGCUAUUUCUAGAGAUAGAAAGUUACUUCGGUACAUCGGUGACAGGUGGUGCAUGGUUGUCGUCAGCUCGUGUCGUGAGAUGUUGGGUUAAGUCCCGCAACGAGCGCAACCCCUAUUGUUAGUUGCCAUCAUUCAGUUGGGCACUCUAGCGAGACUGCCGGUAAUAAACCGGAGGAAGGUGGGGAUGACGUCAAAUCAUCAUGCCCCUUAUGACCUGGGCUACACACGUGCUACAAUGGUUGGUACAACGAGUUGCGAGUCGGUGACGGCAAGCUAAUCUCUUAAAGCCAAUCUCAGUUCGGAUUGUAGGCUGCAACUCGCCUACAUGAAGUCGGAAUCGCUAGUAAUCGCGGAUCAGCACGCCGCGGUGAAUACGUUCCCGGGCCUUGCACACACCGCCCGUC
rnacentral:rRNA from 1 species